rnacentral:lncRNA from 1 species
GAAAAGGUGGUUCAAUAGGUAGAAUGGAUGAAUAGUUAGGAAAAGUAGUUAUCAUCUAUAGUAUAGGAGUUGGUAUCUCGGGGUAGUAUAAAGAGGAUGGGAGAGAGGAAGAAAAUGCCAGACUGUGAUAGUCAUGAGCUGGGGUUAAGCUUGGUGCUUCUUCUUUAUUUCUUUUAUUUUCUUUAUUGUUGAAGAAUAAUGGAUAGUUUUUGAAUAUUGAGAAGUGAGUCUGUGGAAUAAAUCAGAGAUUGAUUUAUGAGUUAUUGAUUAUAUAAUUGGAGUACUGAGUAAUUGAAUUAUAUGAAAAGUUAUUAGAAGAUUGAUUAUGGAUGGAAGAUUAUGAUUGUUGUUUAUUGAGAAUUGUGUAUGUGUGUUUUGAGAGAGGAAUUCUGUGAUUACAGGAAUUCUAUGAAUUGAGAUUGGUUGGAAUGAAGUCUAUUAUUCCUACUGUUGGAUGGAAUUUAUUGAAUUUUGAGUGGUCUUUUGAGAGUAUAGGGUUGCAUAUUGUGGUUAUCAGUUGAUGAAGGAGUAUUAUUACUGCGAGGAAGCAUAGUAGUGUUUCUUAGUAUUUUAGUGGUUCGGAAUAUACUUAAUUGUGUGACCCUUA